GUCCCCCUAAAGUGAGCGUCCUGCCGCCGUCCAGUGAAGAGAUUUCCACAAAGCAAGCAGCAACACUGAUGUGUGUGGCCAACAAGGGCUUCCCCUCAGACUGGAGUCUGAACUGGAAGGUGGACGGGAUCAGCAGCAGGUCUCAGUACAGCAGUGUUGCUCUCCUGGAGAAGGACGGUCUGUACAGCUGGAGCAGCAGUCUGACUCUCUCUGAGCAGGAGUGGAGCUCAGUGAUCUCAGUCAGCUGUGAGCUCACACAGAAAGACCAGCGUGAUAAAGUCACUGGAGAAUUGAGGAGAGAUCAGUGUUCACAGUAGAUCCACUCACUCUCUCCUCUGUCUCACAUCAAGACUAACAGACUAACUGUGUUUCUCUCUCUCAUCUCACAUCUCUU